rnacentral:misc_RNA from 1 species
GUCACUCGCUGCGUCCUUGGCCUGUAAGCAAUCUAAUAUUUUUGUGCUAUUUUUUCCUUUUCUUUUUUCUUUCAGAUUAUGCAGCUCAUUUUGCAUUAUUAAUUGUUAUACAUUUUAAUUAUAUGGUGUCUAAAGUAAAUUUCAGUAUUUUAAGAAUUGAAUGAUUACUUUUCGAUUGUUUUAUAGAUUUUUUUGUGCAUUUCUGUUUGGCUGGCCUCAAGAAGUGUUGUACUGCAAGCUCAAAUGAAAAUCCUUUUUGUUAGAUUGUGAAGUUUUCUUCUUUUCUUUCUGCUUUUUGGGUUCUAUUCAGUUGCUGAAACUGUGGUGCGAUUCCGACCAAUAAGUAAAACCAGGUCUUUGAUUCGUUCACUUGAGAUUUUUUCUGCUUUAGGGGUGACUUAACAGUUAACAUUCAUUUUCUCUUAUCUCUUGGUUUUCUUUUUCCAAUUUGCCCAUUCAGACAUAAAUGUCUUGUUCAUGAUUCUGAUUUGAUGAGUUGAUUCUUAUCUUAAAAAAGGUGUCAGCUUUUCAAGGUUGCUUUUAUUUAUACAGACAUCACAUAAGAAUGAUCACUUCAUUUAACAUUGACUAUUUGGCUGGCUGAUAAUUGUUCCUGGAGCUAAAAUUGCAGCUAUUUGAUUGUUUCUUUCAAAUUAGUUUUUUUUCCCCUUAGAACAUCAAAAUUCACACAUGAUCAUAUAUCUAUUGAUACAUUGAAUUUCUUGUCAUCAUUACUGCAGUAGAGCAAACACAUUGUUGUUAAAUCUUAAAUUUGAGCCAUAGAAUUCAUGAGUUUUAAGUGUUUACCAUUGAUAACUUAAAGAUUCCUAGUUUUGCAAAAUCAUACUUGACAUUCCCUAAGAUCAUCAAAUCGUUAAGUCAUGUCUAUGUAGUCUUUUUGCUUGCAGCAUCUCUCUUGGAAAAAUGCUGCCAUAAUGAAUUUAACAUCCAUUUUAAUCUAGUUGUAGUGGCUGUGAGAAAGAUAGCACUAAACAAUAUGCUCUCAUAAUCUAGACUAUUGCUGGACUAUUAAUUAUGUAAUAUAUUAUGUAGUGACAAGGUUCAGCUGCCGCCUCACACUCACAUCCUUGGACGUUGGACCUUAAAUGAUGUUUAACCUGAUGGCCAAGUACCAACAAUUUUGAAUGUAUGGAUUUGAUGAGCUUUUUGGGUUGCUGAUAUUGGGAUCCUUAGCGUAGUUACUCAAGGCAAUCAUAUCAAUUAUUCAUUUUCUUAAGGAUUUAGAAACCUUAACAUUCUGAUAAUUGAAUUAACAUUUAAAGCCAACUUGAUAGAGUCUAUGUUUAAUAAGUCAUAAGAACUAGAGUUUUUAUUUGUAGCUUUUUGAGGUCCAUGAUCCACACUGUUUUAAGCAAUACAUCCAAUUGAUGAAUUCCUCUCUUUUGGGUCCAUCAGAAUUUUUUAUUGGCCUUCGACUGCACACACAGUAACAUAAGUUUCUAUGUCACAUUAACCCUCCCCAAUAACGUGCCCCUUCCAAAUUCCAAUGCAAUGUGAACUUAAUGCAAAAUUAGGGACUUGUGAAUUACACUUCAUUCUUUCUUCAUAAGUUACCUCCAUGCAUAUGCUAGCAGGUUAAAACUACUUACAAAUUGUAUUUUCUCCACAAUUUCUUAUAAAGAGUGGGGGGAAAUUCUCUCAUCCCUAGUGUUUGUUUAGUAUAUUAUCAUUCUUGAAUACCUUGGCCGUUUAUCCUGGCCAUCCUGUGGAACAGCAGAUACUCCAAACAGCAUGCUUCUUCCUGUAUAUGUAGUUUGGUUGAACAAUAUUUCUGCAUGAGAGUAGAUACUCCAAAUGUCAUUCUGUUCCUGUAUAUGAAGUUGUUGAGCAAUUUGUACUGCAAAGUUUUUUCCUUCUCCAUUUUCUGGUUGUCUUUUAUGUUUCCUUCGUAGUCUACAGUAAAUUUACAUGAUUUAUGGUUGUGAUCAUGUGCCAACUCCAACCAAUUUAAGAUUGAACUUUGGUUGGGUUGUAAUGAGUUAAAAUUCUAAAUGCACAUGUUAAUCAACUAUACAUCUCAACUCAACUCAACUCAAUUAAACCACUAUCCCAAAAAUUUGAGGUCUGCUAUAUCCAAAAAAUUUGGGAGAAUAGCAACAUAAAAAAAAUUUGAUUGUCUAGUUUCUGCUAUAACACAAAUACUGUAACACCUUUCUUACAUAUCUACAGUUUAGCUCCAGAGCACUUACACAUAUUUGGACACUGAUUCACUGAAUUCACAUAAAGCAGGCUAAGUGGCUGACCUUUUCUUUAACAGCCAAGUAUGAAAGGCAACUUCAAAAGAGGCAAGUGACUUGAUAAUUCUUCAUAUGCUUGUAAAUUUAAGACGCACUUGAAAUCAACGCUUCCCAAACUUAAAAACCUCCACAAGAAGUCUUCAACAGAUCAAGAAUCAACCUUCUUCCCCAUCAAACUUCUAGUGAUUGUGUAAUUAUAUAAUUUCACUUUAUAAAGGAACAUUCUUCAAUUGAACAUUACUCUUAACAAUCUUGAGACCAAUAUGUAAAGGAAUGAUAAACAGUAGGCCUUCAUCAAUUGUGGGGCUUGGUCUUGAUUUUUAACUUCAAACCAACAUACCCCCUGACAAACCAGUUCAAAAUUUAAUUCGCUAUGAAAAAGAAAAAUGAAUGCCUUAACAAAUAGUUUAGAAUGCAAUUCAGACUUUUCUCCAUUCAUAUUGCACUUUUAUACCAUCCAUAGGAUUAGCUUUAAAAAAAGGGUUUUUUAGAUUGGAUACACAAGAUUACAAGCUAAUUUUACCUAGACAAAAUACCAGAGAUAAAGAAGUACACAAAACAGACCAUAACAACAUUGCAAUGCACAGUCAAUCAUAUUCCCAAAGGAAAAAACUCACCCUGUGUAAUAGUCCUUUGGAAU